AUGAAAACCAUUUCUACUACAUUGAAUACUAGUCCUUCAUCAACCGAAAUUAUUGUCACUCCAGAUAAAAGAAUACAGUCUACAAGCAAACCCCUAACUCAGACAUCAUUAACUCCAGAGUCAAAGAAAAGAGCUAACUCAUUCAGGAGUGGUCAAAUGGACUUUAAUAAUAUUAUGUGGUUAGAAGAACUUUUAGAUUCAGAUAAUGAAUCGGAAGACGCAACAACUACGACAUCAACAAUUUGGACUAGUGAAAAUAGUCAAGAAACGGAAGAGUACACCACCGCUAAGGCUUCUCCAGAAGACGAAUCUGUAGAACCGUCCUCACGAUUAUCUACUUCUAUAACACGGACCAAAUCCACUGCAAAUGAACCUACCACAAAUAAAAUUGAAACUAACACUAAUCAUAGUAAAUCAAACCCCUCAACAGAGAGUAAUUCUCCAAACAAAGAAAGUACAAAAGAUGCAAGUCGGUUGACGACAACUAGUGAUAUUAUAACUACUGGGAGUAAAGUUGGUAUAACUGCGCCCCUUGAACUUAUUAUGUCUCUUAUUAAUCCCUCAUAUCUUAAAUCCAAAGAGCUUUCGAACGAUGAAGAAGAAUCCAUUAUAAGUACUACAACGUCUUUUAAUGCCAUCCUUAUGGAAGAAACAACAACAUUGACCACAUUCGAAGAACCUAAUGAAAGCUUUUCUUCAACUCAAAAACAAAGAGGCGCUCAUUCCUUAUCUGAAAUCACAGAUGUCCCAACCGUCCCUUUAAACUUUCAUCAUAAAACCACUACAAUACCAAAAACCAACAAAGUAACAAAUAAGUAUACCGAUCGGAUAACUCCAGAAUUAUCCACAACCCCUCAUAGAGCUCCAACUCAGAAACUAAAAUCCUCUACGUCUAUUAUGAACAGUCCCAAAACAGAAUCAAGUUUAAUGGAUCAACUACUAGAAACAUUACCCCAUGCGACAACUAUAUUAAAACCUGAAAUGAUUAAGUCAUCAACACGCAAAUCAACAACUACCCUCUCCUCUACAACUACAACAACAACCAUGGCGACGACCCUUAAAACAACAGAGGUUGUAUCAAGUAAAAAAACAAAAUGUGUCGAGAAGGUUCUAGAAAUAUUGUUUGGAAUUGAAGUUCCUUGUUGAUCAUCCUCGUCUCAUCGUUAACACAAUAUUUAUGUAACAAAUAUUAAAAAAAACAUUUUGUGAUAUUCUUUUUUAUUUAAAAUAAUCUAUAACAAACAAUAAAUUAACCUCAUUAAAAGUCUUUGUAUGUUUCACGUUGUAAUAAUACCGUAUAUGUAAUUAAUGAUUUGUUCAUAAUUCUACAUACUUCAGUUCAAGGCAAUGGUACCCAUGUUAUAGGAUCACUAAGAGCUAAAAUGCCCCCUCAAAAAUGGAGAUGGCCAUUGUAUAUUUCCAUUUCACUACAAGGGUAAAGUUUACUUCACAUGCACGAAACAAAACUACAAUGCCUAUUGGUGUGGAAAAGUUUACACAACGACCAAUCAAGUUUGGGGAUAUUGCUCGGACGAAUGCCCUAGAGAUUAAUUCGGUUAUUUUUUAUAUUAUCAUUUAGUUAUCAGAGUUAUUCUUUAUUUUGUAAGAUGUAGAAUCUCUGAUUAUAAGUAUUUGGAUUUCUCAGAAACCAAUAUUAUAUAUAAAUAUCCCAUGUUUCAUAUUAAUGGCAUUUCAAUGUAUAUAUAAAUCGAAAUAUAAUAUUUAUAAAUAGA
rnacentral:misc_RNA from 1 species